AUACUCACUUCAGCAUCACAUACACUAAAAUUGGAAUGAAACAGAGAAGAUAAGCAUGACCUCUGAGCAAGAAUGACUCACAAACUCAUUAAGCAUUCUGUAUUUUU